UAAGAUAACAGAACUCUACCUUCAUCAUCUCUGGCCACAAUACCUGAGGCUGAGUAUUUCUGGCUUUCUUUGUAUACUCCGUCGAAGUUUAUCUUUAUGAAAUCGCGAUUGCGCAGCAGAAUAAACAACUUUGCCAAGGGUUGAGCUAUUCUAACACCCAGGGCAUUCUCGAAAUAGGUGGUCCAUUGUUUCAGCUCUUUCACCACAUCUGGGGCAGUUUGUGUUUGCUGAUAAUUUCCUGUGUUGUAAAUUCACUUUUGUAGGCAAAAAGUUCCAUGAUAGUCUCCAUAUUGUAAUCUUUAUCUUUGUUGGUAAAUUCAGGCUCCAAAGUUUUUUGUAGAAUUUCCUGUAGUUGGUUUGUAAAGCAUAAGCUCUAGGAUUUUCAUCCGAAUUCUGUAAUAGUUUAUAGGCACUUCGGACCGUGAAUUCACCCGAUGAUUCUCCUCCCCAAAUAAGGAAAUCCUCAUGAGGAGUACGUGCCAGAGGGAUUCGAAGAAUUCUUGCAGCCUCUUCUUCUGUGAAGGUAUUGUUAAUCAGCUCCCUCUUCCAAAGCCUUUUA